UGGGGAAUUUUGGACAGUGGGCGAAAGCCUGAUCCAGCAAUGCCGCGUGUGUGAAGAAGGCCUUCGGGUUGUAAAGCACUUUUGUCCGGAAAGAAAUCCUUGGCUCUAAUACAGUCGGGGGAUGACGGUACCGGAAGAAUAAGCACCGGCUAACUACGUGCCAGCAGCCGCGGUAAUACGUAGGGUGCAAGCGUUAAUCGGAAUUACUGGGCGUAAAGCGUGCGCAGGCGGUUUGCUAAGACCGAUGUGAAAUCCCCGGGCUCAACCUGGGAACUGCAUUGGUGACUGGCAGGCUAGAGUAUGGCAGAGGGGGGUAGAAUUCCACGUGUAGCAGUGAAAUGCGUAGAGAUGUGGAGGAAUACCGAUGGCGAAGGCAGCCCCCUGGGCCAAUACUGACGCUCAUGCACGAAAGCGUGGGGAGCAAACAGGAUUAGAUACCCUGGUAGUCCACGCCCUAAACGAUGUCAACUAGUUGUUGGGGAUUCAUUUCCUUAGUAACGUAGCUAACGCGUGAAGUUGACCGCCUGGGGAGUACGGUCGCAAGAUUAAAACUCAAAGGAAUUGACGGGGUCAUAGCUGUUUCCU
rnacentral:rRNA from 1 species